rnacentral:rRNA from 1 species
AUGCAAUCUGGAAUGGAACAAACAACGGGGGUAAGUGGUCAUGAACAUGUAAUUGAUAUUCCAAGGGAUAGCGGUCCUUCGGCCUCGGCAUCGCACAGUGUUGGUAGAGAGAACCAUGAAGAGUUGAAUCCUGUGGAUAGGCCUUCAACAAGAGCUGCAACGUCUGCCUUGCAGCCACCAGCAGCAAUAGGUCCUCCUCAUGCAGAAAAUACUUCAGGCACUAGGAGACGUGAUAACUAUGGUCGGCGACAUAGGAGCCCUUUGAACUCUGGACUAUGGAUUUCUGUUGAAGUUAUCGUUAAUGUUAGCCAAAUUGUUGCUGCCAUUGUUGUGCUAUCCCUGUCAAGGAAGGAACAUCCACAAGCUCCAUUGUUUGAGUGGGUCAUAGGUUACACAGUCGGUUGUUUUGCCACUUUGCCACAUCUUUACUGGCGCUAUAUACACCGUAAUAUUGUGAACGGUGAGAAUGAGCCAGCACACUCACUUCAGGGCUCCUCGCAGAACAACUCGACUGAGCCCACUCCUGCAAGUGUAUCAGAACGGCGAAGGAAUGCUGCACGAAAUGCAGUUCUGGCUAACCCAAGGAUUAAUGCACUUUUUGACCACUUCAAGAUGGCCUUGGAUUGUUUCUUUGCCGUGUGGUUUGUUGUAGGAAAUGUGUGGAUAUUCGGUGGGCGUUCUUCGGCUGUUGAUGCUCCAAACUUGUACAGGUUAUGCAUCGUGUUCCUCACCUUCAGCUGUAUUGGGUAUGCCAUGCCUUUCAUCCUCUGUGCAAUGAUAUGCUGUUGUCUCCCCUGCAUUAUAUCCGUCAUGGGCUUCAGAGAAGACACAAACAAUACAAGAGGGGCCACUUCGGAAUCCAUCAAUACUUUGCCAACUUAUAAAUUCAAAACCAAGAAACGCCGCCAUGGUUCAGGUAAUGAAGCCGAAGGCCAAGAGGGAGGUAUAGUGGCUGCAGGGACUGACAAGGAGCGAUCGCUUUCUGCUGAAGAUGCUGUAUGUUGCCCUGUCCCUUUGUAUUUUUCUUACCUGCUUAUUGCUGCAAAAAUGGAUGUUCCAUGUUGCAUUCACUUACCGACUUGCCUUUUUUCGUGCUUCCAGGUUUGCUGCAUCUGCCUUGCCAAGUAUGCACACAACGAAGAGCUUCGUGAACUUCCCUGCACACACUGCUUCCACAAGGAAUGUGUCGACAAAUGGCUCAAGAUAAAUGCACUAUGCCCUCUGUGCAAAGCCGAGAUAGCAAGCUCAUCUGGCACAUCUGAUACUCGCCACAUCGACCAUACAGUACCGACGCAGGAGAUCGAAAUGCAUUAG